rnacentral:rRNA from 1 species
CCUACGGGAGGCAGCAGUGGGGAAUUUUGGACAAUGGGCGAAAGCCUGAUCCAGCAAUGCCGCGUGAGUGAAGAAGGCCUUCGGGUUGUAAAGCUCUUUUGUCAGGGAAGAAACGGUGAGGGCUAAUAUCCCUUGCUAAUGACGGUACCUGAAGAAUAAGCACCGGCUAACUACGUGCCAGCAGCCGCGGUAAUACGUAGGGUGCAAGCGUUAAUCGGAAUUACUGGGCGUAAAGCGUGCGCAGGCGGUUUUGUAAGUCUGUCGUGAAAUCCCCGGGCUCAACCUGGGAAUUGCGAUGGAGACUGCAAGGCUAGAAUCUGGCAGAGGGGGGUAGAAUUCCACGUGUAGCAGUGAAAUGCGUAGAGAUGUGGAGGAACACCGAUGGCGAAGGCAGCCCCCUGGGUCAAGAUUGACGCUCAUGCACGAAAGCGUGGGGAGCAAACAGGAUUAGAUACCCUGGUAGUCCACGCCCUAAACGAUGUCUACUAGUUGUCGGGUUUUAAUUAACUUGGUAACGCAGCUAACGCGUGAAGUAGACCGCCUGGGGAGUACGGUCGCAAGAUUAAAACUCAAAAGGAAUUGACCGGCNGAGACGUGCGACGACGACGACGAGGGAGGUUAGG